rnacentral:rRNA from 1 species
GAUUGAACGCUGGCGGCAGGCCUAACACAUGCAAGUCGAGCGGAUGAAGGGAGCUUGCUCCUGGAUUCAGCGGCGGACGGGUGAGUAAUGCCUAGGAAUCUGCCUGGUAGUGGGGGAUAACGUCCGGAAACGGGCGCUAAUACCGCAUACGUCCUGAGGGAGAAAGUGGGGGAUCUUCGGACCUCACGCUAUCAGAUGAGCCUAGGUCGGAUUAGCUAGUUGGUGGGGUAAAGGCCUACCAAGGCGACGAUCCGUAACUGGUCUGAGAGGAUGAUCAGUCACACUGGAACUGAGACACGGUCCAGACUCCUACGGGAGGCAGCAGUGGGGAAUAUUGGACAAUGGGCGAAAGCCUGAUCCAGUCAUGCCGCGUGUGUGAAGAAGGUCUUCGGAUUGUAAAGCACUUUAAGUUGGGAGGAAGGGCAGUAAGUUAAUACCUUGCUGUUUUGACGUUACCAACAGAAUAAGCACCGGCUAACUUCGUG